UGCUGGCCCGGGCGGCCGCCGGCCGUGCUUCGAGCGUCCAGACCUGCUGUUCGUUUCACACAUCUUGCCUUCCUUCCGGCUAGCUGCAAUAAUUUUUUUCUUCUGUAAAAUAUUUUGUAAACAACAAAAGCUGUUACGGCAAGGGGAGCCGGAAGGCGCCGCCCCGGACCCGCCGCCAUCCCACGCUGCUCCCACGACGCAGAACUGUAACUGCCCGUAACGGACGAUGCCCGCUGACCCGCCCGUCGCCUGCAGCGGCCCUCGGCGGCCUGCAGGGGGCAGAGUCGGCCCAGACUGUGCUGUAGCCUGCGCCGCCGCCCUGAGCAGCCCGAGCUCUAAUUAAAUAUUUAAUUUUA